rnacentral:rRNA from 1 species
CUUUCGCUUCUUCCCUGCUGAAGAGGUUUACAACCCGAAGGCCGUCAUCCCUCACGCGGCGUCGCUGCAUCAGGCUUUCGCCCAUUGUGCAAUAUUCCCCACUGCUGCCUCCCGUAGGAGUCUGGGCCGUGUCUCAGUCCCAGUGUGGCCGGUCGCCCUCUCAGGCCGGCUACCCGUCGUCGCCUUGGUAGGCCAUUACCCCACCAACAAGCUGAUAGGCCGCGGGCUCAUCCUUCACCGCCGGAGCUUUUAACCCCGUCCCAUGCGGGACAGAGUGUUAUCCGGUAUUAGACCCCGUUUCCAGGGCUUGUCCCAAAGUGAAGGGCAAAUUGCCCACGUGUUACUCACCCGUUCGCCACUAAUCCACCCCGAAAGGCUUCAUCGUUCGACUUGCAUGUGUUAAGCACGCCGCCAGCGUUCGUCCUGAGCCAGGAUCAAA